rnacentral:rRNA from 1 species
GACGAACGCUGGCGGCGUGCUUAACCCAUGCAAGUCGAACGAUGAAGAAGAGAAACGCGAACUUCGGUUCAAAUUUCACUUCGGAUUAGUGGCAGACGGGUGAGUAACGCGUGAGCAACCUACCUCUUACAAAGGGAUAGCCUCGGGAAACCGUGAUUAAUACCAUAUGACACAUUCAUAAGGCAUCUUAAGAAUGUUAAAGCUACGGCGGUAAGAGAUGGGCUCGCGUCCCAUUAGCUAGUUGGUGAGGUAACGGCCCACCAAGGCGACGAUGGGUAACCGGGCUGAGAGGGUGAACGGUCACAUUGGAACUGAGGCACGGUCCAAACUCCUACGGGAGGCAGCAGUAGGGAAUAUUGCACAAGGGAGGGAACUCUGAUGCAGCGACGCCGCGUGAGCGAUGAAGGAAUUCGUUUCGUAAAGCUCUGUUCUAUGGGAAGAAAAGGACUGUACCAUAGGAGAAAGCCCCGGCUAAAUACGUG